UUCACAGUGGCUAAGUUCCG
rnacentral:ncRNA from 12 species